rnacentral:rRNA from 1 species
UACGUAGGGGGCAAGCGUUGUCCGGAAUUAUUGGGCGUAAAGAGCGCGUAGGCGGUCCGGUAAGUCAGCUGUGAAAGGCAAGGGCUCAACCCUUGAAUGCCGGUUGAUACUGUCGGGCUAGAGUCCGGAAGAGGCGAGUGGAAUUCCCGGUGUAGCGGUGAAAUGCGCAGAUAUCGGGAGGAACACCAAUGGCGAAGGCAGCUCGCUGGGACGGUACUGACGCUGAGACGCGAAAGCGUGGGGAGCAAACAGG